GGGAAUGUGGUGAAAUUGGUAGACACGACGGACUUAAAAUCCGUUGCUUUAAACGGCGUGGGGGUUCAAGUCCCCCCGUUCCCA
rnacentral:tRNA from 3 species